GAACGUUCAUACGACGGAAGCCGUUCGAGUCAAAAUAUAGAACAGGAUUGCCCGAACAGGACACGCUGGACAGCAGCUCCGUGAUUAUUUUGAACACAACGCCAUUCUCGAGAAGCUUGUAUUUCGAAGAAAACAAUCUUCUAAGGAAAAAUAUGGUCACCUUUACAAUGAUAAUAUUCGUCGCCUUCUUAACCACUCAUGUAGUAUCAAAACCGAGGAGGGUUGUAGUGAAAUACCGUGGGUCGUUAUAUAUUCCCGUAGCGGUCGCAAAAGGAUCAUGCAUGGUCAGCAAUGAAUUCAAAAUGCCAGAUGGCCACACAGUGGAGUCAUCUACAUUUUGCAGGAAAGUGACAUGCAAUGCUACGGCUGGGUAUUUGCAUGAAGAGCACUGCACCGUCCCGAGAAAUUACGCGCCCGACCGCCUGCAGCUUGAGCCAAGAGGUGCACCUUUUCCAUUUUGCUGCCCAUGGUUUUCAACAAAGAAGAAGUCAAUCAAAUGAAUGACUUCUAAUAGUGUACCUUGCAGUGCACAUAUACAACAUAUGCUAAGAUUAAAUUAAUGUAAUUGUCGCAUACCUUUACUGUGAAAAAAUAUGCAUUCUUAAAUUACUGUAUUAACCAGAGACUCGGAGUUGGCCUGGU